rnacentral:rRNA from 1 species
CCAUGCGGGUCUUACCAUGCAAGUCGACGAUGAACCACUUCGGUGGGGAUUAGUGGCGAACGGGUGAGUAACACGUGGGCAAUCUGCCCUGCACUCUGGGACAAGCCCUGGAAACGGGGUCUAAUACCGGAUACUGAUCCUCGCAGGCAUCUGCGAGGUUCGAAAGCUCCGGCGGUGCAGGAUGAGCCCGCGGCCUAUCAGCUAGUUGGUGAGGUAACGGCUCACCAAGGCGACGACGGGUAGCCGGCCUGAGAGGGCGACCGGCCACACUGGGACUGAGACACGGCCCAGACUCCUACGGGAGGCAGCAGUGGGGAAUAUUGCACAAUGGGCGAAAGCCUGAUGCAGCGACGCCGCGUGAGGGAUGACGGCCUUCGGGUUGUAAACCUCUUUCAGCAGGGAAGAAGCGAAAGUGACGGUACCUGCAGAAGAAGCGCCGGCUAACUACGUGCCAGCAGCCGCGGUAAUACGUAGGGCGCAAGCGUUGUCCGGAAUUAUUGGGCGUAAAGAGCUCGUAUGCGGCUUGUCACGUCGGUUGUGAUAGCCCGGGGCUUAACCCCGGGUCUGCAGUCGAUACAGGCAGGCUAAAGUUCGGUAGGGGAGAUCGGAAUUCCUGGUGAGGGGGGGUGAU